rnacentral:rRNA from 1 species
AUGGCCGCCCAGGCACCGGCGAUCGAGGUUCCCACUGAUGCCGAGCUGCUGCAGGCUCAGGCCGACCUGUGGCGCCACACCCUCUACUACCUCACCUCCAUGGGGCUCCGAUGCGCCGUCAAGCUCGGCAUCCCGACGGCCAUGCACAAACUCGGCGGGGUCACCUCGCUGCCCGACCUGGCCGACGCGCUGUCCAUCCCCGCGAGCAAGCAGCCGUUCCUCGGCCGCCUGAUGCGCGCGCUGGUCACCUCUGGCGUCUUCGCUGCCGGCGGCAAGGACGAGUCCGGGGCGGAGCUCUUCCGCCUCAACCCCCUUUCCCGUGUCCUGGUGGAUGACGUGGUCGCGGACGAGCACCACAGCCAGACGUCCUUCGUGCUCGCCGGGACGUCGCCGCACUACAUGGAGGCCGCGCUGGGGAUGGCCGACUGGUUCAAGAAGGACGUCGCCGGACCGGUGCCGUCCGUGUUCGAGGACGUGCAUAGCGCGUCCCUCUUCGACGAGAGCACCGCGGCCCUGGACCCGGAGCUCGACGCGCUGGUCACCGAAGGUCUGGAAGCCCACGAUAACCUGGGGAUCGGCACCAUCAUGCGUGAGUGUCAUGACCUCUUCAAGGGGCUUGAAUCACUGACAGACUGCUGUGGUGGAGACGGAAAGACGGCGAGGGCCAUCACCAAGGCCCACCCACACGUCAAGUGCACCGUGCUGGAUCUCCCCAAGGUGAUCGAAAAAACUCCAUCCGACUGCGUAGUCAACUAUGUUGCCGGUGACCUUUUCCACACCGUCCCAAAGGCCCAGGCAGUGAUGCUCAAGCUUGUGCUGCACCACUGGAGUGACGACGAUUGUGUGAAGAUCCUAACCCAGUGUAAGAAUGCCAUUCCUUCCCGUGAGGAAGGAGGGAAGGUGAUUGUCAUUGACAUUGUGGUUGAACCAUCACUAGGACCUGUCAUGUUUGAGGCCCAGACUCUCAUGGACUUGCUCAUGCUUGUCUUCACCAGAGGCCGCCAACGUAGCGAAAAUGACUGGCGUGAUCUCUUCAUGAAAGCAGGCUUCACCGACUACAAAAUUAUCAAGAAACUCGGUGCACGAGGUGUCAUCGAGGUCUACAAGUGA